CCUACGGGAGGCAGCAGUGAGGAAUAUUGGUCAAUGGACGAGAGUCUGAACCAGCCAAGUAGCGUGAAGGAUGACUGCCCUAUGGGUUGUAAACUUCUUUUAUAUGGGAAUAAAAUGUUCCACGUGUGGGAUUUUGUAUGUACCAUAUGAAUAAGGAUCGGCUAACUCCGUGCCAGCAGCCGCGGUAAUACGGAGGAUCCGAGCGUUAUCCGGAUUUAUUGGGGUUAAAGGGAGCGUAGGUGGAUUGUUAAGUCAGUUGUGAAAGUUUGCGGCUCAACCGUAAAAUUGCAGUUGAAACUGGCAGUCUUGAGUACAGUAGAGGUGGGCGGAAUUCGUGGUGUAGCGGUGAAAUGCUUAGAUAUCACGAAGAACUCCGAGUGCGAAGGCAGUUCACUGGACUGCAACUGACACUGAGGCUCGAAAGUGUGGGUAUCAAACAGGAUGAGAUACCCGAGUAGUC
rnacentral:rRNA from 1 species